UCUGGUUGAUCCUGCCAGAGGCGACCGCUAUUGGAGUUCGAUUAAGCCAUGCGAGUAGAAAGAAAUUAGAUUCUUUGCAUACUGCUCAGUAACACGUGGAUAACCUGCCCUGUGCUGGAGGAUAAUCUUGGGAAACUGAGCAUAAUACUCCAUAGACCACUACGCCUGGAACGGUGAGUGGUUCAAAGCUCUGGCGGCACAGGAUGGGUCUGCGGCGUAUCAGGUUGUAGGGGGUGUAAUGGACCCCCUAGCCAUCGACGCGUACGGGUUGUGGGAGCAAUAGCCCGGAGACGGAUUCUGAGACACGAAUCCGGACCCUACGGGGUGCAGCAGGCGCGAAAACUUCACACUGCAGGCAACUGUGAUGAGGGAACUCCAAGUGACUGCACAAUGUGUAGCCUUUUCUUGACUGUUAAUAAGUCUUGGAAUAAGGGCUGGGAAAGACCGGUGCCAGCCGCCGCGGUAAUACCGGCAGCUCGAGUGGUCGUCGCUUUUAUUGGGCCUAAAACGUCCGUAGCCUGUUCAGUAAACCCGUGGGUAAAUCAACCAGCUUAACUGGUUGAAUUCUGCGGAGACUGCUGGACUAGGGACCGGGAGAGGUAUGAGGUACUCUCAGGGUAGGGGUAAAAUCCUGUCAUCCUGAGAGGACCACCUGUUGCGAAGGCG
rnacentral:rRNA from 1 species